AAUUAGAAAGCGAUAAAUUGCAUUUAGUUUCGACCUAAACUUUGACCUUCUAGGUCUCUAAUUA
rnacentral:tRNA from 1 species